UAGGGAAUCUUCGGCAAUGGACGAAAGUCUGACCGAGCAACGCCGCGUGAGUGAAGAAGGUUUUCGGAUCGUAAAACUCUGUUGUUAGAGAAGAACAAGGACGUUAGUAACUGAACGUCCCCUGACGGUAUCUAACCAGAAAGCCACGGCUAACUACGUGCCAGCAGCCGCGGUAAUACGCAGGUGGCAAGCGUUGUCCGGAUUUAUUGGGCGUAAAGCGAGCGCAGGCGGUUUCUUAAGUCUGAUGUGAAAGCCCGCGGCUCAACCGGGGAGGGUCAUUGGAAACUGAGAGACUUGAGUGCAGAAGAGGAGAGUGGAAUUCCAUGUGUAGCGGUGAAAUGCGUAGAUAUAUGGAGGAACACCAGGGGCGAAGGCGGCUCUCUGGUCUGUAACUGACGCUGAGGCUCGAAAGCGUGGGGAGCAAACAGG
rnacentral:rRNA from 1 species